rnacentral:tRNA from 1 species
CCCUGGGUGGUACAAGCGGUUAAUGCGCUUGGCUGCUAACCAAAAAGUUGGAGGUUCAAGUCCACCCAGAGGGG